AUUGAACGCUGGCGGCAGGCCUAACACAUGCAAGUCGAGCGGACGAAGGGAGCUUGCUCCUGGAUUCAGUGGCGGACGGGCGAGUAAUUCCCACGAAUCUGCCCUGCCUUUGGGGAUAACGUCCGGUAACGGGCGCUAAUCUCGCAUACGUCCUGAUGGUGAAAGGGGGGGUUCUUCGGACCUCGCGCUAUUUGCUGAGCCUAGGUCGGAUUAGCUAGUUGGUUGGGUAAAGGCCUACCAAGGCGACGAUCCGUAACUGGUCUGAGAGGAUGAUCAGUCACACUGGAACUGAGACACGGUCCAGACUCCUACGGGAGGCAGCAGUGGGGAAUAUUGGACAAUGGGCGAAAGCCUGAUGCAGCCAUGCCGCGUGUGUGAAGAAGGUCUUCGGAUUGUAAAGCACUUUAAGUUGGGAGGAAGGGCAGUAAGUUAAUACCUUGCUGUUUUGACGUUACCAACAGAAUAAGCACCGGCUAACUUCGUG
rnacentral:rRNA from 1 species